rfam:Ipomoea nil DNA, scaffold: scaffold0681, cultivar: Tokyo-kokei standard.
GCUCUUGUAGCUCAGUUGGUUAGAGCACUCGUUUAGUAAGCGGGAGGUUUUGAGGUCAACUCUUAACAAGAGCA